rnacentral:rRNA from 1 species
AACGAACGCUGGCGGCAUGCCUAACACAUGCAAGUCGAACGAGAACUUCGGGUCUAGUGGCGCACGGGUGCGUAACGCGUGGGAACCUGCCCUUAGGUUCGGAAUAACUCCCCGAAAGGGGUGCUAAUACCGGAGAAUGUCUUCGGGCCAAAGAUUUAUCGCCUUUGGAUGGGCCCGCGUUGGAUUAGCUAGUUGGUAGGGUAAAAGCCUACCAAGGCGACGAUCCAUAGCUGGUCUGAGAGGAUGAUCAGCCACACUGGGACUGAGACACGGCCCAGACUCCUACGGGAGGCAGCAGUGGGGAAUAUUGGACAAUGGGCGAAAGCCUGAUCCAGCAAUGCCGCGUGAGUGAUGAAGGCCUUAGGGUUGUAAAGCUCUUUUACCCGGGAUGAUAAUGACAGUACCGGGAGAAUAAGCUCCGGCUAACUCCGUG